UUAUUUAUUUUCCCGUUCCCUUUCUCUCUUCCAACUCUCCAAGUUGUACUUUUUCUCAAGCAACCCAAAACUAGCAAGCACCAUUCUUUAAUUAAAUUAUUUCCCUCAAUCCACGGAAAUCGAAUAAAGAAACCCAAAUCCUUCGCUACUACCGUUAUCCAAAACCAAAAUGCAGAGUCAUUUAUUCACAGCAUGAUAUCAAUCGAUAACUUCUUCAUUUCACAAAAUUCAGGGUAGCGUUCACAUUUUCCCCCUUCUUUCUUCCCUUCCCCAACAACAUACUCCCAACUCGCGCGGUGCCGCCACGUGUCCCAUCGUUUUCGGCGUUAGUUUCCUUCCUUCUCAUGUAACAGUAACAACAGUCACCACCCAUCACUUCUCUCCCGCACCUAAAAGAAAAAACUAACCAACUUUUUUUCUCCGUAUAAAUAACGCCAAAUCAAAAAAUCAAAACCAUCGCAAAGGGUUCCCUUUUCAGUUUUCAAGCACCUUCAUCAGCGAUCGAUUUUGGUUUCUUCGGAUUCGGACUACGAUUUUCGCCUCUCGCGAAGACCUAGGGUUCGUUCGUUUGCACUAAUGGAGGAGGAGAAAAAGGUGUGCGCGUCGGAGUCGGCGGUUGAUGGAAGCCGCGACGUUUGGAGUUCCGAGCCCUCGCUCGCUUCCUCCGCGGAUCACCUCGUCGUAAUGGUGAAUGGAAUUCUAGGACGGGAGACGGAUUGGAAAUAUGCUGCGGAGAAAUUUGUCAGGGAGUUGCCGGAUAAAGUGUUUGUUCACUGUAGCGAACGAAAUGUGUCUAUGCUUACACUAGAUGGUGUGGAUGUAAUGGGAGGGAGAUUGGCAGAAGAGGUGCUUGAAGUGAUUAAAAGCAAGCCAAAUAUGCGUAAGAUAUCUUUUGUUGCACACUCGGUUGGAGGAUUAGUGGCACGAUAUGCAAUUGGGAGGCUGUAUAGGCCACCUGAAAAAGGAUCUAUGGCAGACUCGUGCAAUGAAGAAAGUAAGGAGAGCUCUGUGGGUACAAUAGGUGGUUUGGAGGCUAUGAAUUUCAUUGCUGUUGCCGCACCUCAUCUAGGAUCAAGGGGAAAUAAGCAGGUUCCAUUUCUUUUGGGGGUACCUGCUUUUGAGAAGGUUGCUAGUUGUGUUAUUCAUUUCAUUUUUAGAAGAACAGGUCGGCAUCUUUUCCUUACUGAUGAUGAUGAAGGAAAACCUCCAUUGCUUAAACGCAUGGUUCAAGACUACGGUGAUUUGUAUUUCAUGUCUGCAUUGCGUGCUUUCAAACGCCGAUUUGCAUAUUCAAAUGUGGACUAUGAUCAUAUUGUUGGCUGGAGAACAUCAUCCAUUAGACGUCAGAGUGAACUUGCAAAUUGGAAAGAUACCAACAACGAAAAAUAUCCACAUGUUGUAUAUGAAGAGCAUUGCAAGGCUUGUUCUGAUGCUGAGCAGUGUGACUCAACAGAAGGUAACAGCUACGACAAGAUAGAAGAGGAGCUUGUUACAGGCUUAUCUCGUGUAUCUUGGGAAAAAGUAGAUGUUAGCUUCCGCAAUAGCAAGCAUAGAUUUUCUUCUCAUACUAUCAUUCAGGUCAAAGACCAAAUCACACAAAUAGAAGGGGCGGAUGUUAUACAGCAUAUGAUUGAUCAUUUUCUUCUCUAGAAGCUUUUUGCCUCUAAAGUAUGCUCCCUGCUUGGGAAUAUAAGCUUCUCAUUGUUGCAGGAUGGAAACAAUUGGUUCCCCGAGUGAUAAAGUUCUCCCACGUGGGUUCUGGCUUGUUGAUGUCGAUCGUUUCCUCACCCAAAAAAUAGAAGAAAUUGAAUUUUUGUUCAUGUAUCAUCCUUUACAAUGUGUAUAGAACUUGUCGGGAAAUCCGUGUAAUGCACGGGGACAAUAAAAUAUAUUUAUCCAAAUUUCAUGCAUACACUUUUUAAGGUUAUAUAUAUGAAUUUAAUAUAUAUGAA